rnacentral:rRNA from 1 species
CGGGUGAGUAACACGUGGGCAAUCUGCCCUGCACUCUGGGAUAACUCCGGGAAACCGGAGCUAAUACCGGAUACGAUCCUCCAGGGCAUCCUGGGGGGUGGAAAGCUCCGGCGGUGCAGGAUGAGCCCGCGGCCUAUCAGCUGGUUGGUGGGGUGACGGCCCACCAAGGCGACGACGGGUAGCCGGCCUGAGAGGGCGACCGGCCACACUGGGACUGAGACACAUAACCAGACUCAUACGGGAGGCAGCAGUGGGGAAUAUUGCACAAUGGGCGCAAGCCUGAUGCAGCGACGCCGCGUGAGGGAUGACGGCCUUCGGGUUGUAAACCUCUUUCAGCAGGGAAGAAGCGGAAGUGACGGUACCUGCAGAAGAAGCACCGGCUAACUACGUGCCAGCAGCCGCGGUAAUACGUAGGGUGCGAGCGUUGUCCGGAAUUAUUGGGCGUAAAGAGCUCGUAGGCGGCCUGUCGCGUCGGAUGUGAAAGCCCGGGGCUUAACCCCGGGUCUGCAUUCGAUACGGGCAGGCUAGAGUUCGGUAGGGGAGAUCGGAAUUCCUGGUGUAGCGGUGAAAUGCGCAGAUAUCAGGGAGGAACACCGGUGGCGAAGGCAGUAUAUCUGAGCCAAAUACUGACGCUGAGGAGCGAAAGCGUGGGGAGCGAACAGGAUUAGAUACCCUGGUAGUCCACGCCGUAAACGUUGGGCACUAGGUGUGGCGGCAUUCCACGUCGUCCGUGCCGCAGCUAACGCAUUAAGUGCCCCGCCUGGGGAGUACGCCGCAAGCUAAAAACUUCAAGGAAUUGACGGGGGCCCGCA